UACGUAGGGUGCAAGCGUUAAUCGGAAUUACUGGGCGUAAAGCGUGCGCAGGCGGUUUUGUAAGUCUGUCGUGACAGCCCCGGGCUCAACCUGGGAAUUGCGAUGGAGACUGCAAGGCUUGAAUCUGGCAGAGGGGGGUAUAAUUCCACGUGUAGCAGUCAAAUGCGUAGAGCUGUGGAGGAACACCGAUGGCGAAGGCAGCCCCCUGGGUCAAGAUUGACGCUCAUGCACGAAAGCGUGGGGAGCAAACAGG
rnacentral:rRNA from 1 species